rnacentral:tRNA from 1 species
GCCUGGGUGGCUCAGUUGGUUGAGCGUUGGACUUCAGCUCAGGUCAUGAUUUCACGGUUCAUGGGUUCAAGCCCCACUCGGGCU